AGACGGAUCGCGGACGCCCAGGCCUCCCUUCAGCCUGCGAGGCGUCCCAAACGCGGGCUCUUUAUGGACAGGAGGGUGGUGUGGGUGGCAGCGCGGGUGACCGGCCGGGUGCGCGGCCAGGGAUGGGCGAAGGGUUUGUCUUUUGGUGAGUGGGAAGCAAGUUCCUCACACAGGGAGGCCACUGUGCCCAAACUCUUGAGUGGUUUUAGGAAGGAAAUAAGGGAUCUGAAAUGGGUCAGUGCGGCCUUCCGCUCGUUAAUCGCGGGCUGAGGGAAGACGGCACCAGGCUGCCCAAGGUGAAGGUGAAGGUGCGAUGGCGAUACUCUUUGGCUUACAGAAAGUUCCUGUCGAGCACUUUGUUUUUUUUUUUGAGACGGAGUCUCGCUCUGUCGCCCAGGCUGGAGUGCAGUGGCGCGAUCUCGGCUCGCUGUAACCUCCGCCUCCCGGGUUCAAGCGAUUCUCUUGCCUCAGCCUCCCAAGUAGCUGGGAUUACAGGCGUGCGCCACCACGCCCGGCUGAUUUUGUAUGUUGAGUAGAGACGGGGUUUCACCAGUUGGCCAGGCUGGUCUCGAACUCCUGACCUCAAGCAAUCCACCCGCCUCGGCCUCCCAAAGUGCUGAGAUUACAGCCCUGAGCCACGGCGCCUGGCUCCUGCAUUUUAGAAGUCUGAAGAUGCUCUGUUUUUUGGCUUGUCAUCAUAUAGGAUUUAUGGCCUUUUGUUAAAAUACUAUUUAAUUAAGGCCCCUACGCUACUGCUUUGUAUAAAGCACCCGUCGCAUAAGUACCUACAUCUUAGAAAAAGAUUUAAUCUUACAUUUCAAAAGGCAUCAUAGCAACGGGGACUGGAUGUGCACCUAGUUAAUAGAGACAGCACUCAGCCAGAUAAAGACAGGACCAGGCACUCACUAUCAGUCCUCACCAGAGGACUGUGACCUUAAAAAGGGCGGGAUUUGACCAAUUCAACACUGGCAUUUUGAUAGACCCCACCUUGCUGUCACUUGUGCUUAGCACCCUGCAUCUGCUGCCUAAGGAUCUGCUCACAUCAAGGACUUCCUUGGAAGACAAUGACUUCUGUCUGGAUCAGGCUGGAAUACACUCCUUGUUCCCGUCAUUGCUUUCCUUGGAUUGAUCCAUUAACCCCUUUUCCUAUCCUCUUUCUCUUGAUGUCCAAUGUUACUUUGUUUGAUGGGGAAUGUUUAAACCAUAGCGUUUGUAUUUUAAGUACACUAUGAUGUAUAGUUUGCAGUAUUGACUGACACGUGGACUGGCUUGAGCCUUUGCCCAUGGCUCUACCAAGUUAACAAGUAGUACUGAAGGGAAUUGUCUCGAGGCAACUCCUCGUAGCUCGUGGCUUUUAUAAUUGAAAUAGCAUCAAUAUAUUCCCACCCUGUGGAAAGACAUAAACGUGUGUGGACCUGGUUAUGUCUGACCUUGUGCUGUUCACAACAUGCCUUGAGAGAGAAAUACUUCUGAACUGAGGCCUCUCACACGAUGGGUACAGCAAGUGCUAAUAAACUUCUGCUUGUUU
rnacentral:lncRNA from 1 species